rnacentral:rRNA from 1 species
AUUGAACGCUGGCGGCAGGCCUAACACAUGCAAGUCGAACGAGUGGCGGACGGGCGAGAAAUGUCUGGGAAACUGCCUGAUGGAGGGGGAUAACUACUGGAAACGGUAGCUAAUCCCGCAUACCAUCAGAUGUGCCAAGAUGGGAUUCGCUUGUUGGUGGGGUAACGGCUCACCGAGGCGACGAUCCCUAGCUGGCAUGAGAGGAGUACCAGCCACACGGGAACUGAGACACGGUCCAGACUCCUACGGGAGGCAGCAGUGGGGAAUAUUGCACAAUGGGGGCAAGCCUGAUACAGCCAUGCCGCGUGUAUGAAGAAGGCCUUCGGGUUGUAAAGUACUUUCAGCGGGGAGGCGUGACCCGCAGAAGAAGCACCGGCUAACUCCGUGCCAGCAGCCGCGGUAAUUC